UACGUAGGGUGCGAGCGUUGUCCGGAAUUAUUGGGCGUAAAGAGCUCGUAGGCGGUGUGUCACGUCGGCCGUGAAAACCUGCAGCUUAACUGUGGGCGUGCGGUCGAUACGGGCAUCACUGGAGUUCGGCAGGGGAGACUGGAAUUCCUGGUGUAGCGGUGAAAUGCGCAGAUAUCAGGAGGAACACCGGUGGCGAAGGCGGGUCUCUGGGCCGAUACUGACGCUGAGGAACGAAAGCUAGGGGAGCAAACAGG
rnacentral:rRNA from 1 species